AAGUAGAGAGAAAAAGAAAAGAGGAAAGAUUCAUGAAAAAAAGCUUAAAAAAAGAAAAAAUUGAAUGAAGAGUGAAUAAAAAGAUCUGAAAAAGGGAUAAUAUUGAGAAAAAUCAGAAAUUCAGAGAGAUCAGAAGCAAAAAACACACACAAAAAAAAAGUUGGAAGAAAGGAAUUCAAAAAAGAAAACAACUCAUAUUUUGAUAAUUUUUAGCAAAGUCGGGUCUUGACGUCAACUCCCAUUUGCUGUGCCAACAAAGAUGGAUGUGAAGACUGCAUUCCUGAAUGGAGAUCUUGAUGAAGAAGUCUAUAUGAAACAACCAGAAGGAUUUGUCAUUCCUGGUGAAGAACGUAAAGUUUGAGCAGCAAUAUCUUGGAGAUCAAAGAAGCAGACAUGUAUUACUCACUCAACCAUGGAGUCAAAAUUUACCUCUAUGUCUUAUGCUGGAGAAAAAUUUGAUUAGCUGUGGAAUAUGCUGAUAGAUGUUCCAUUAUGGGGUAAGUCAAUACCACCUUUGAUACAAGCAUAAAGAGCACAAGGUUUACAAGUUCUUGUAGAAGAUUCAAGCUUCGGAUUGUCAAAGGAUCAAGUCUCGGAUUUGCAAGUUCUUAAAGACCUUUUGGAAUCAUUACAAAGUCUUGUCCAAAUUAAAGAGAGAAAGAGGGAUUUCUACAUCACAUAGGUGCCUCAACUAAGGGAAUUGUGGUCUUUUCAUACCUUCUUUUUACACUCCAAAGAAGCACCCUUCAUUAAGGG